rnacentral:rRNA from 1 species
UGGGGGAUCGCUCGGCUCGAGUGCCGAUGAAGGUCGUGACAAGCUGCGACAAGCUGCGGGGAGACGCAAGAAUGUCUUGGAUCCGCAGAUAGCUGAAUGGGACUUCCUGUUUCUUCGGAAACAAUCGCGAUGCGAUAGGGAACCCCCCGAAUUGAAGCAUCUUAGUAGGGGGAGGAAAUGAAAUCAACAGAGAUUCCGUGAGUAGUGGCGAAUGAAAACGGAAUAGGACAAGCCGAAUCCCAACUCGAAAGUGAGGGAGAUGUGGUUUGCAGUCUUUUGUCUAAGUCAGAGAAGGUGAAGUUGCCUGGAACGGCACAGCCAAAGAGGGUGAAAGUCCCGUAACCGUACCUGAUAUGACCACGUGACUGUAAAAGAGUAGCGUGCGCUGGAAAUCGCGCGUGAAUAUGGGAGGCAGAAACUUCCAAUCCUAAAUACAACUCGAGACCGAUAGUUUACAAGUAACGUGAGUGAAAGCUGAAAAGUAUCCUUGGCGGGAUGUGAAAAGAACGUGAAACCAGUUGGGUACAGGCUGACAAGGCGUGAAAGCGAUGAUAUGAGCAGCGUCUUGUCGUGCGUUUAGAAAAAUGCCCCAGGGAGUUUUGAUCAUUGGCGAGGUUAAGCGGUUGAUCCGCGUAGCCGAAGGGAAACCGACAAGUCCGCAGCAGUUUACUGUGAGGGACGAAGUGUGCUCGCUUGGAGUCAAUGGUGGAAGACCUGAAGCCCGUCGAUCUAUGCCUGGCCAGAUUGAAGCCCGAUGAAAGUUGGGUGGAGGAUCGCACCGUUGCUGAUCUGCAAAUCGCUCGGACGAGCUGGGUAUAGGGGUGAAAGUCCAAUCGAGAUGGGCAAUAGCAGGUUCCGCGUGAGACUACUCGUAGGUAGACGUUCGUGGAGAUAGAUUACGCUGUAGAGCACUGAUUGUGCGUUUAGGGGGAGCGAUCCCUCGGCGUGCUGCCAAACUCCGAAGGUGUAAUCGUUGUAGAUACGAGCAGUGAGUGAUGGUGGGUAAGCUACCAUUACAAAAGGUGAACAAACCAGCCUGAAGUUAAGGUCCCUAAAUAUCAGUUAAGUGUCACAGACAAACCGUGUCCGUGGUCGAAAACAACCAGAAGGUGGGCUUAGAAGCAGCCAUCCUUGAAAGAGUUCGUAACAGAUC